rnacentral:rRNA from 1 species
AAAAUAUCUAUCCUCCCUAUAAGCCUAGGUAGAAAAUUAAGUUAUAAGACAAGGAUAAACACGAUAUAUGGUACUUUUUAAAAUCUGGUUCCCAAAGAAAUAAAACAUUUUAAAAAGAAUUUUAAAAUAAUGUAUUUAGCUUAUGCUGAGUAUAUAUUAGUGAGCAACUAAUUUAAAAAUAUUUAAGGAAUAAUAGUCCCCUCUGUUAUAAUAAAUUGCUAUUGACCUAAUUUAUUUAUUAAGCUUCUCUUCUUAUUUGGGUAAUUAAUUCUAAGAAUUAGAACUUGUUUACACUAGUAAAUAUACUUUUAUUAUUUUCUUACUUAAAUAAGUUUUAUCAAUUUUAAAUUAAAUAUAAACUAAAUAACUUGAGAUUCUCCAAACUGUUUAACAAAGACAUAGUAAGACUGUGUCUUAUGUAUCUGCCCAAUGAAUAAUUUUUUAUGGCUUUAAAGUAGCGCAAUAAUUAGUUUAUUAAUUGUAAACCUGUAUGAAGCUAGCAUUGGUUAAUCAUGUUUAUUCUUAUCUGUUGAAUCUUAGUUAUCAGUACAAACGCUGAUAUGCCCCCCGAAGACGAUAAGACCCUAAGACCUUCACCUUGUUUGGCUGGGAUAGCCUACUUAAUAUAAUAAAGAAACCUUAAUUAUUACGAACCAAUUAUUUUGCUAUACAUAGGUACCUUAGGGAUAACAGCGCGUAAUACUUUUAGAGCUCUUAUUUAAAAGAUAUUCGUGACCUCGAUGUUGAAUUAAGUAAUAUAGUGCUGCAGAAGGUGCUAUUUUAAGUCUGUUCGACU